AUUUUUGAACCACAGCUGACUGAGGCAUGCACCAGAUCUGUCAUUUCUGGAAUCUUGUGCGAAUUGUGUAUCAACUUGAGGGGCCACUCACGGACUUGUCAUCUGCUCUCACCAGGACUUCAGAGGAUCUCAAUGCUGCUGUUCUCACAGCCUGACAGGGACAAAAUAACAGGAAACUUGCAAAUUUGUCUUUAUUCUUGCUUAUGGUAUGGCUAGAAAAUGUUUGAAUUAAUAUGAGAAAUAUAAAGAUCUAUCAUAACCUCCUUUUUUGUAGGUGGGGCUACUUUUCCUUCCUUAAUAGUUACCCUUCUGCUGAGGCCCCCUAUGGGAAACACCAAUCUUUAAGGGACUUAAUCCCUUUUUCCAAACUUCCCUGGGCCAGUGCCCAAAUGGUCUAUACAUUGUCUGUUAAAUCAAAGAAACCAGCUUUCUUGUUUUUCUCUAUGGUUUCUUCCCAUGCAAUUGACAUCUUACAGUGCAACAUGGAAAUUUGAAAUAAAGGCACACCAUUGCACAUCUAAGUUGAGAUCUAGAGACGGUGGUUUGGAGUGAAGUUCUAAUUAAUAGGAGAAAUGGGAUUGCUAACUUUGGCUUUUCCCAGGGAUCCUUAAGGUCUGGGACAGAUCCCCCAUUGGUCUAGAGGAGUUAGGGUUAAUUGUAGUCCUGCUUGGAGACAAAGGUACUAAAAUGUGACUACUGGCUUUUUCAGCUAUAAAAUUGAAGAGUCUCUGCAUGGUCUGUUCCAGGCAUCUCCCUGAGCCAGCCCAAGGAACUGCCUUUAGGUCUCUUCCUUAUCCCUUCUCUCUCUCACGCCUUCUUUUGUUCCCUGCCCUUCUUCCUGGCCUCUCUCUCUUACUUUCAUUUCUUCUGGCAAUUAGUGGACAAGCCAGAAGAAAACAAUUAAGAUGGUCAUCAAUUUGGGCAGUAUUCUGUUCACACUUAUUUGAGACUUGUUCUGUAGUAUAUGUGAACAUACUCAGGACGUAAAUGAAAUAGAAUAGUGAGCCAGAAAAUUGUGAUAAAUAAAGGUGCUUCUACCCAUAUUUUGUUUACAUUCUGGGUGGUGCAUGAGAUUAAAAGCUGUGAGACUUUGCAAAUAGAAUGAGGUAGAUGACUAGUUUUUGCUGUGCAUAAGGUCAACAAUAUCACCCAACAAAUAGCCAGCUCCUUGCCACACUCCCUUCCUUCAUUCUAGUCAUCUAUCUUACAAGCAUAAUUGAAUUAGAUCCUCAUAAAAGUCUUACAAGGCACAUACUACUGAUGGUAGUGGAGGCCUGUCUGGAGCGGCUGCUGCCAUGAUGCUGGCUUCAGGGGGUGAGGCAUGGCCAGGGCUGCACACUCCAAAGAGCCAGCAGGAGCCGGGAAAAGGCAGAAGCCCUGGCAGGGCAGGAACCUUGUGCUCCCUGGGAGCAGCUGCGGCCAUCCAGCUGUGGCUGUGGACCUGGGCAUCCCUGUGCUCUUGGGAGCUGGGAUUGGGCAGGAGCCCUGCCCUUCUGGAGUGUAGCUGCAGCUGCCCAAGCCAUGGCUACGGACCUGGGCGUCCCCUCUUGGGGGCCUGGGAAAGGCCCCCUCC
rnacentral:lncRNA from 1 species